rnacentral:rRNA from 1 species
ACGAACGCUGGCGGCGUGCUUAACACAUGCCAGUCGAACGGAAAGGCCCUGCUUUUGUGGGGUGCUCGAGUGGCGAACGGGUGAGUAACACGUGAGUAACCUGCCCCUUACUUUGGGAUAACUUCAGGAAACUGGGGCUAAUACCGGCUAGGAGCUCCUGCUGCAUGGUGGGGGUUGGAAAGUUUCGGCGGUUGGGGAUGGACUCGCGGCUUAUCAGCUUGUUGGUGGGGUAGUGGCUUACCAAGGCUUUGACGGGUAGCCGUCCUGAGAGGGUGACCGGCCACAAUGGGACUGAGAUACGGACCAGACUCCUACGGGAGGCAGCAGUGGGGAAUAUUGCACAAUGGGCGGAAGCCUGAUGCAGCAACGCCGCGUGCGGGAUAACGGCCUACGGGUUGUAAACCACUUUCGCCUGUAACGAAGCGUGAGUGACGGUAAUGGGUAAAGAAGCACCGGCUAACUACGUG